UGGGAACCAAAACCUCAGGCCAAGUCAAGGCUGAAUGGAAGCGACAUCAAGUAAAUGCUUCAACGUUCUGUCCUUCAUCAAGAAGUGCCAUAUAUAAUAUACAGAUAUGCAUUACAAGAAGCCACGUUUUAUCACAUGAAAACAGAACAAACAUAAAACACGAAGAGUGAAUGAAAAUAUGUAUGGAUGGUGUUGGACAGAAAUAGAAACAGAAAGACAAAAAGCGAAAAAGGGAAGGCGCUGCCUGGUGCCAGAAUCCAAGGUAUACCUUGUCAAGGUGAGGAAAGAAGCUGCUAACCACUGGGUGUUGAACUCAGAGCUCAAUAACUAUAGUCGCUUUUAGAAAUUGCGUGGCUGCCGGUGACCCGAAUCUCGUCCUGGUUGAACAGUCAGUGGAGGAACAAAGUACCGGUUGGUAGAAGAUCCGGACAUAGAAAUCUUAAAAAAAGGGGUCUGAAUGGUGCACACUGUAGGUGACACGAGAAAACCAGCGGGAAAAUAAAAAUGUGAUUUAUUUGGCAGUGCGGUUCGGAAGACUGUGCUUCCUUUAUAAAGCCUGUUUUACAUGUGAUGAGUAUUCCUUUAUAUCUACACAAACAUUCAUGAUUUAACACCUUAAGGACCAAUACAAGUAAACCUGUAUGCCCCAAGGCCUGUUUUUUCAAAUCGGGGAUGUCUGACUUUAUUAGAGAAUAACGCUGGUAACGUUUUGCCAAUCACAAUAAUUCUGACUUUGUUUUUUGUCACAAGUUGUCCUUCAUGUACAUAGUAAAAGUAAGCCGAUAUCAUUUGAAGUUUUUUUUUACAA